AUGAGACUUGGUCAGAAUCUUCUUGAAGACGAGGUAAAAACGAAAACUCCUAAUCCCUUGACCAGAAGAGAAUUAUUAAGACAAGUGGCAAGCCUGUAUGACCCAAUGGGAUUCGUCACACCAACUAAACAAAAAGGAGCCAUCCUGGUAAGGAAAGCCUUCCAAGAAGGUGGAGGUGGGGGCAGGACCAAAGACACUUGGGACAAACCACUGUCUGACAGCCUCAGAGAGGAAGCGAUCAAGCUGUUUGAGGAGUAUGCACGCCUUGGUCACAUUACCUUUCAUAGAAGCCUCACACCAGUUGGUUGGAUCGGUAAGCUGUGGGGAAUAACAUUCUCGGAUGGAAGUGACAAAAGCUACGGUGCUGUGGUGUACUUCCGGUGGGAAACACACCAAGGUGUCCAAGUUAGAUUCGUUAAGUCAAAGGCAAAGCUCACUCCACUUGAUCAAAAAGGAGACCCAGUUAAGGCAGAAAUGUGUGUUGCAGUUUUUGCAGCUCGACUUCGGAAAUACAUUGAGAAGCACAGCCAAAUGGAAAUAGACUGCUGGUACCACCUAGUGGACAGUCAAACUGUACUUGGAGCCAUUCAGAGGGACAGUUAUGGGUAUCAAACAUGUUUUGCUAAUAGAGUUGGAGAAAUCCAAAAGGCUGGACACAUAGGAGACUGGUGGUGGAUAUCAGGUGAUCUCAAUAUUGCUGACUGCAUAACAAGAGGUGCUGGACCUGAAGAUCUUCAAGAGGACUCUGAGUGGCAAAAAGGGCCACGAUUUCUAAAGCAACCUGUCGAAGAAUGGCCAGUAAAGUCAGCAAAAGAAAUUGCUGCUAUUGCCAAAGAAGGAAUCAACAAGUUUGAAAGGAAAGCCUUCUCUAGUGCUGUCACAAGAGCUCAGUCAAAGAGGGAGAACACUCUGUGCAAAGAGAAGGAACCAGGAGGCCUUCAAGCAAACAUUCCUGCCCGAAGAACACCAGCUGGAUCAGCAGUCAAACAUCUCAUAGACCCAACAAAAUUCAGCAAUUUAACCCGACUAGUCAGAGUUAUUGCCUGGGUAUGGAGGGCUGCCACAAAGUGGAAACAGGAGGCGAGAAACAUGAACACAAAUGGAAGGAAAAUUAAAGUGAUUUUCACACAAGAAGAGGUGAGAUCUGCAGCCAAAAGACUCACACUCACUGUGGAAGAGUAUGAUGAUGCACUCAGGGAUGUUUUCCUUGCCGAACAAGAGGGUGCAAUAUUUGAUGAUACCACUCUCAACAGGCUUGUUGUGUAUAAAGAUCAAGAAUCAGGACUUCUAAUGUGUGGUGGAAGGAUUCAAAGCUUCAAUGAAGACAAAACAGCUGUUCCCAUCCUCCCAUAUAAGUCCUGGGUCUCAACACUUCUGGCACAAGAGACUCACAAGGUAAACCACGAUGGGAUUGCUGGAACACUCAUGGAAAUGAGAGGACAGGCAUGGGUUGUAAAAGGGAGAAGACUGGCUAAAAAAGUUGUUGACAGCUACGUGAUAUGCAGGAAGACCAAGGCAAAGAGGUGUCGACAAAUCAUGGCUAACCUCCCUAUAGAAAGGACACGUCCGGCGCGACCCUUUGAAUACACCACGGUUGACUUAUUUGGCCCAUAUGAAGUCAAGGAUGAAGUCAAAAAGAAGGUGCGGCUCAAAGUUUGGGGCAUCAUCUUUUCCUGCAUGGUUUCCAGAGCUAUUCAUACAGACCUUGUGAGUGACCAGUCAACUGAAGGAUUCCUGUUGGCCUAUAAAAGGUUCACAGCAAUCCGAGGCCAUCCAAGAAAAUUGUGGUCUGAUCCUGGGAAAAACUUUGUAGGAGCCAGGCCAGCCCUCAAAGAACUUUAUCAGUUUCUAAAUCAAUUGGAAAUGUCAGAACUUCAAAAUGAAGCCACCAAGCAUGGAACCGGCUGGAGCUGGAAGAUCCAUCCAGCAGACUCGCCACACAGGAAUGGAGCAGCUGAGGCAGCUGUUCAGAUUGUGAAAAGAGCCUUGCAUAAUCUGGGAGGAGAUGGGACAUUCACAUGGGGAGAAUUUCAAACCUUCCUCUAUAUGGCAGCUAACCUGGCCAAUGAGAGACCCAUUGAUGCAAGAACUCAGAGUCGGGAAUACUGCAUACGGUAUAUUACACCAAACUCCUUGCUGCUGGGCAGAGCGGCCCCUAAAGGUGACACCUGCAGUUUUGACUUCAAAGGCUACCCAUUCAAGAGACUGAAAUUUAUUCAAACAGAGGUGGAUAAAUUCUGGAAAAAAUGGAUUCAAUUGGCUGGCCCAAAUCUUUUCAUCAGAAGCAAGUGGCACACUAGAGAACGUAAUGUAGCUGUUGGUGAUGUUGUCUGGCUUGCAGACCAAAAUGCCCUGAGGGGUCAGUACAGACUUGCAAGAGUCAUCAGUGCGAACAGUGACAAGAAGGGAAUUGUCAGAGAUGUGAACGUGAGGACCUUUCCCAGCUAUCCUGUUCCACAUGUGAAAGGCGUCACACAAGGGAAAAGGCCGGCCACCAGAAUCCCUGCCACAAUUCUUCACAGAGACGUCAGAAGUGUGAUUGUCAUAGUGCCUGUGGAAGAACAGCGGACACAGUCUACAAAUGAGGUGAAUGGGUGA
ensembl:lncRNA